AUUGAACGCUGGCGGAAUGCUUUACACAUGCAAGUCGAACGGCAGCACGGACUUCGGUCUGGUGGCGAGUGGCGAACGGGUGAGUAAUGUAUCGGAACGUGCCCAGUCGUGGGGGAUAACGUAGUGAAAAUUACGCUAAUACCGCAUACGAUCUAUGGAUGAAAGCGGGGGAUCGCAAGACCUCGCGCGAUUGGAGCGGCCGAUAUCAGAUUAGGUAGUUGGUGGGGUAAAGGCCCACCAAGCCAACGAUCUGUAGCCGGUCUGAGAGGGCGACCAGCCACACUGGAACUGAGACACGGUCCAGACUCCUACGGGAGGCAGCAGUGGGGAAUGUUGGACAAUGGGCGAAAGCCUGAUCCAGCCAUUCCGCGUGCAGGAUGAAGGCCCUCGGGUUGUAAACUGCUUUUGUACAGAACGAAAAGGUUUCUACUAAUACUAGGAGCUCAUGACGGUACUGUAAGAAUAAGCACCGGCUAACUACGUGCCAGCCGCCGCCGUAA
rnacentral:rRNA from 1 species